rnacentral:tRNA from 1 species
GUCUAAUUAGUUUAUUUUAAUAAAAUUAUAAAUUGUGGAUUUAUAGAUGAUCUAUUCAUUAGACA